AGUGGGAUAGCUGGGUCAAAUGGUGGUUCCAUUCCAAGUUUUCUAGGAAUCUCCAUGUUGCUUUCUAUAAUGGUUGCACAAUUUGCAGUCCCACAAGCAAU
rnacentral:pre_miRNA from 1 species